AAGAAGGUCUAUGCCAGUAUAGACUAGAGAGAGAAUAGAAUCAACCCAACAGUUUCAACUCGGUGUCACUACUGCUGUAAUUUGCGCGACAGGAUGUACUUUUCAGACAAAUUGGGGUUCGAUUCAUCUGUUUUCAGAAAUCUAACCUCGUGUUAAAAAAUCUGAUUAUUUAUUGCAGAAUUAUAAUUUAGACCGAUCAAAUUGCAGAAAAAUUCUGAUUCUUUUUUUUCAUAGUAAUCAAUCAAUCAAUCUGAAUUCUGCGCAGCUGUGCUUUGGAAUAUUUUGUUUGAAUUUCGAUUGAGAUAAAGGUCGGAGUAAAAUCUCCGAUCUGAGAAAUGAUAACGCGUUCUAAACUUGUUGAGCAACUCAGAGAUUAUCAGCUUCGAUCUCAACAUAAAUGGGCAAAGCUUACUUUCUUCUCUCCCAAACCCCAAAUUAUCACCAGGGCUGAUGUUGCAGUAGCCCUCUUGUGGGCUUUACUUUUUACAGUACUUCUAGUAUCAACAUACGUAGCAUUUUACUUCAGAAACUUCAAGAUCUCAGUUUUCAUCAUAUGUCUUGGAAUCCUGCUUCCAGUAUGUCUGAAAAUUUCUAGGCAGAGAAAAUUAGCGAGGAAAAGGGAGAGACGGUUGCUGUUACCAUUGUCCAUGUAAAGAUCAGCCAGGUUUUGAAGGAGAUUUUCAAAGUUGUCCAAUCCUAUUUGUGUUGGUCAACCGGGAAUCACUAUUUUCCCUUGAACCAUAUAUGUUUGUUAGCUGGCUAGAUGCAUCACCAUCCGUUCUCGGGUAGCAGUGACACUCGGCGUCCUUCCAGAAAAGAUGGUAUGGUUUUUUUUCCUGUCUCCCCUCCCAACUUUAUAGGCAACAUCUGAAACCCAUGAAAACCUGCAUACCAAACACUAUUGUCAUGUAAACAUCUUACAUUUCGAGCUUAAUCUCAAUCUGUUAUAGGCAUAUUCUUUCUUGUUUCUUAGUUGUAGAAUUUUACCCAAAAAUGGGUAUACUACACUUGGAUGGGUUAUUAAAUGUAAUACUUUUUCCAAGAUUGAGACAGAAAACGUAGUUAUUGAGCUGAGAAUUAUAUAGACAAUUUAUUAUAUGGAACAUGGCAGAAUUCAACUUGGUUCAUUU